rnacentral:lncRNA from 1 species
GUGGCUUGAUUGUAUGGAAUGACUCCUCUUCUGAAUGAAUGAGAAUGAUCUGAAAACUUGGGGUCUGGCCCUCCUUAUAUAGCCUAGUGGAAUGAUUCGUAGCCAUUAGAUCAAACUAACUUAAUGGAUGAAGAUUAUUAAUCCUUAGAGGUGAUUUAGUCCAUGAUCCAUGCCCUUUGCCAUGAUUGGCUAAGGGGGGUCGAGUGCCCUGGGCCCCAGGGUGGGCGCCCUAGCCCUAUGCUAGAUGGGCACCCCCGCCUUGGCCAGGGGUCUUCUCGACUCUUCUAGACUCUUGUGCUUCAUACAUGGUGUUGAUAUAUCAUUUCUCUCUAUGUAAUCAUGACAUGUGGGCCUCUCUUGGUCAUUUCCUGAUCACACCCUACAGAAAUAGAUAUUUACCAAAACCUAUGGAAUUCUGUCAGAUAAAACCUUAUUCUAUUGUUGGUGAUUGUUUUAUGCCUUUCUUCCAUUCUCUUAUUGAUAUAAAAAUGAUACUUAUCUACCAUCAACAAGCUCCCCCAAUCUUACCCUUUUGCUCAUCCUUGAGCAAAGACAAACUCAGUGAUGAUUCAGGAGUUGUUCUAAUGCUUUCAUUCCUUAAGAGUACACAUGCAUUCAAACAAGAACUCUCCACCAAAUUAGAGUGAACGGUAAUGACUUAAACUUACCCAUAUUACCUUCCACCAUAGAGCUUCUAGCCAUCACUUGGCCUUGAGUAGUUGAAGGAUAGAAUGGUCAAGUCAAGCACUAUGUCUCAAGUUCAUUGAUCAACUUUCAUUCCGAAGUUUUUUGCAGGAUUUUCAAAUAAAACUCAGAGAUUCCUUUGUAUGACCCUCUCAAGUCUCUUAUUUGUGGUAUUUUUGGAUCCUCUCCAAGGCACUAAUGAUGUAUGCCUUCUCUCUUCUCUCAAAGUAUGUGGUAUUUUUGGCAUAGACAUAGUCUGAUGCCAUCUCUCUCUCACCCUACAUCUAUGUGGCUUAUGUGGGGCUCAUAGGUAGGGAGAGAGCACAUACAUACUUGUAAACAUAUAUAUUGUAAAGUAAAACAAUGGAUCCAAAGGAACAAGUCAUACAAUCAAAUCAAGAUGUGUGUGGCAUGUGGUGGAAUGUAGUGGAUGAUGGCAAAUGGAUAUGGAAUGGGUGUAUAGUGGUGAUGGCGAAAUCCUAAUUCUACUUUUGCUCCUCGAAAACACACCUACCUUUAUUGGAAGUUUUGGGGAGAGUUUGGGUUGCUCUAACUUUUCUCUCUUUUUAUUUCUUUCUUUCUUUUUCUCUCUUUUUUUGUUGGGACAUUUGUCCUCUUUCUCUUUUUUCUUUUGGAGAGCACCCAAACCUAUUUUGGAUAAUUUGAUGGGAGGUGGUAACAAGAAACAAUUGGAUCUUUAUUAAAUGGCAAGGAGUAAAAUGGGUGGAAUAUUUUUUAUGUUCACUUCUAGUGUAAGAGUAGAACAAUUUUGUGUGGAUCUAGAUAGAGUGAAUAUGGAUGCAUACUUCUAGUGUAGAGCAACAUAAGUGGGUGGAGUGUACGUGAUCUUGAUUUUAAAUGCAUGACUAGUUCCUAAGGGUCAACAAAACUUAACUCUACUCAAUGCUCAUAAGCAGUAAAUAAUAGUGAAGUGUUUUCCUAGUCUACAAGGCAUGGAAGUCUAGCUAUGGUAGGAAUUCAAGCUCUCGUCAUAUAGGAACUCAUCAUGCAGUAUUUUUAUGUUUUUCAAAAGAUAAAUUCUCAAGAACUCUAGCAUCUCUAGGAACAAAAUGAAUAGUAGCUCAAAACAUUUCCAUAUCAUAUCAGUCAACUACCUAGACUUAAGCUCAAGCAUUGCAACCCACAAGUUUCAGGCUCAGAGUAAAUCUUGAAUCAAAAUAGUAGUGUCUAAAACUUGGGAGAAUUCAAGGUUGAAAACUAAGUACUCAAAAAGAAUUAUAGCAGAGCAACUAUUCAUCAUUUCCAUGUGAGUCUAGUCUAUGAUUUGGUUUUUAGCAAAUGAACCCUUGUAUCUUCUCCUUUUAUUUAUUUAAAUAUUUAGCAAACUCUAAGAUCACACAAAAAUAUUUGUAUAAGGGGAAAUCUUUAUUUGGGUUUUGUAAGUGCAAUCAAGCCCUAGUGGGUUUUGGUGCUAAUGACCACACAAUUAGAGGACUAAUGAGAUUUGUUGAGAUGACAAGCAGGUAAAAUAAGAAUGAGGAUAACACAUGAGAUGUGAGAUGGAAAAAGCCCAAUUUACCAAAUGUGUUGGUCCAUUGAUGGAGUUGAACGAAAGCAUUCGGUGAAUUAUAGCACCCCAAGUUUUCAAUAGAUGAACGGCGUUUCAACUCAAGUGGCUACAAAGCUUUUAUCUUUUGUUGAGUUUUAGGAAACGCCGCACUAUCAAGGGGGAUGCAAAUUAAGUUGGUAAGAUGAGGAUAGGGGUGCUCAAGUCAAUUUACUUAAUGCGCAUGAGAGACACACUUGCACGCACGAACAUCUAGGAAAUUUCUUCUCUGCCAGGGUGACCCGGUAGUACC